rnacentral:rRNA from 1 species
GCCUACGGGAGGCAGCAGUGAGGAAUAUUGGUCAAUGGUCGGGAGACCGAACCAGCCAAGCCGCGUGAGGGAGGAAGGUACAGAGUAUCGUAAACCUCUUUUGUCAGGGAACAAAGGCGGGGACGUGUCCCCGGAUGAGUGUACCUGAAGAAAAAGCAUCGGCUAACUCCGUGCCAGCAGCCGCGGUAAUACGGAGGAUGCGAGCGUUAUCCGGAUUUAUUGGGUUUAAAGGGUGCGCAGGCGGUCUGUUAAGUCAGCGGUCAAAGCCCGGGGCUCAACCCCGGCCCGCCGUUGAAACUGGCAGG